GACGAACGCUGGCGGCGUGCUUAACACAUGCAAGUCGAACGGAAAGGCGCUGCGCUUGUGUCGUUCUCGAGUGGCGAACGGGUGAGUAACACGUGAGUAACCUGCACUUGAAUUUGGGAUAACUUCAGGGAACUGGGGCUAAUACCGGAUAGGAUCUUCUGCUCCGUAGUGUUGGUUGGAAAGUGUCGGCGGUUGGGGAUGUAAUCGCGGCUUAUCAGCUUGUUGGUGGGGUAGUGGAUCACCAAGGCUUUGACGGGUAGCCGGCCUGAGCGGGUGACCGGCCACAUUGGGACUGAGAGACGGCACAGACUCCUACGGGAGCCAGCAGUGGGGAAUACUGCCCAAUGGGCGGAAGCCUGAUGCAGCAACGCCGCGUGCGGGAUGACGGCCUUCGGGUUGUAAAACGCUUUCGCCUGUGACGAAGCGUGAGUGACGGUAAUGGGUACAGAAGCACCGGCUAACUACGUG
rnacentral:rRNA from 1 species